CUCUAUGGUCGAGUGGUCAUAGCGGUGCAGUGAGCAGGAGGCAAUCAGAGCCUGUUUGGCUCUUGGCUUGACCUUAUGAGCUUGCCUGCUGGUGUUUCCGGGAUGUGGACCCCUGUUCACCAGAAAGUGAUGGAAACCACACACCCAUUUGUUCUAGAACUGGCCAUUGCUUGACCUUCUGAACAUUUCUGACCUGUACUCAGAUCAGCAGUUUACAAUGGGAUAACGAUUUAUGGCUUUAUGCUAUGCAGUGUGAGAAACGCAUUUUCUGCUAUAAUGAGUGGAAACCUGGAUCUUCACUGCUGCUCAGGGUCUGCCUUUUUAUCUGCACUGUGUGGUUCAUGAGUGACUUUCCUGAAGAACCUUGGCCACCGUGGACGUUCAAGCAGGCAGGAAAAAAGGAGAUGGCAGCGCCCCAGAAACCUGCCCCGAAGGGUGCAUCCCGCAGGAGCGUCCCCAGGCUGGUGGAGGCUCUUCCAGCCCCAGUGGGAAGAAAAGGAAAAGCAGGGCUGAGGAAGGUCAGUACGUGGAUCAACUUAUUUUCCCCUCGGACGGGGGAUCACAGGUGCUGUGCAGGCAGUCUGCCCCUCCGACACAUAGAAAGGAGAAUUUUGUCCUCUUCAGCACCGAGGGAAAUUCCCACGGCUAACGGACUGACCCUUCCUACCCU
rnacentral:lncRNA from 1 species